UGGUAGUCUUACCACGGUAGGUCGAAUGUCUUUGGCAGUACUCAUUUGUGUAUCGAUCCCUGCGUGUCUGGUUGCAGUGUUUGGAUCGCCUGGAAACUCUUGAGGGGUUCGUCCUUGAAGGAGUGCUUUUGGGCGCCCUGAGCAUCUCCCUGACACAAAGACGAUGACUAAAUGGUUCUAUUCGACCCGUCUUGAAACACGGGACCAAGGA
rnacentral:misc_RNA from 1 species